UACGUAGGAGGCAAGCGUUGUCCGGAAUUACUGGGCGUAAAGCGCGUGUAGGUGGUGGGACAAGUCUGCUGUGAAAGUGCCUGGCUUAACCGGGCGAGGUCGGCGGAAACUGUCGCACUCGAGGACGGUAGAGGGGGGUGGAAUUCCCGGUGUAGUGGUGAAAUGCGUAGAGAUCGGGAGGAACACCUGUGGCGAAGGCGGCCCCCUGGGCCGGCCCUGACACUGAGACGCGAAGGCGUGGGGAGCGAACGGG
rnacentral:rRNA from 1 species